GUGGGGAAUAUUGGACAAUGGGCGAAAGCCUGAUCCAGCCAUGCCGCGUGUGUGAAGAAGGUCUUCGGAUUGUAAAGCACUUUAAGUUGGGAGGAAGGGCAGUAAGUUAAUACCUUGCUGUUUUGACGUUACCGACAGAAUAAGCACCGGCUAACUUCGUGCCAGCAGCCGCGGUAAUACGAAGGGUGCAAGCGUUAAUCGGAAUUACUGGGCGUAAAGCGCGCGUAGGUGGUUUUGUAAGUUGGAGGUGAAAUCCCCGGGCUCAACCUGGGAACUGCCUCCAAAACUGCAUGACUAGAGUACGGUAGAGGGUAGUGGAAUUUCCUGUGUAGCGGUGAAAUGCGCAGAUAUAGGAAGGAACACCAGUGGCGAAGGCGACUACCUGGACUGAUACUGACACUGAGGUGCGAAAGCGUGGGGAGCAAACAGGAUUAGAAACCCCUGUAGUCC
rnacentral:rRNA from 1 species